CCCCCGUAAAAAAAGACAAAUUAUUAAAAAAUACUUUCUGUCGAUAGAAGGGGUCAGAGCGAUUCUGUGAUUCAUGCAUGGGACUGUUCUUCCUCGGCAGUCUCCAUAGCCCGGUCAGAGACAUGG